AUUGAACGCUGGCGGCAGGCCUAACACAUGCAAGUCGAGCGGAUCGGCGGACGGGUGAGUAAUGCCUAGGAAUCUGGCUGGUAGUGGGGGAUAACGUCCGGUAACGGGCGCGAUUACUGCAUACUAUCACAUGAGGCUGGGUCGGAGUAGCUAGUUGGUGGGGUAAAGGCCAACCAAGGCGACGAUCCGUAGCUGGUCCGAGAGUAUGAUCAGUCACACUGGGACUGAGACACGGUCCAGACUCCUACGGGAGGCAGCAGUGGGGAAUAUUGGACAAUGGGCGAAAGCCUGAUGCAGCCAUGCCGCGUGUGUGAAGAAGGUCUUCGGGUUGUAAAGCACUUUAAGUUGGGAGGCGUUACCGACAGAAGAAGCACCGGCUAACUUCGUGCCAGCAGCCGCGGUAAUAC
rnacentral:rRNA from 1 species